rnacentral:lncRNA from 1 species
AUGUUUGUUAUUUCCAAGGAGUCAAACAAGACCUUUGAAAUCUUGGAAAAUUUUGCCUUAAAGGAUGUGGAACUUGAUUUUAACAAUACGGCAGCAGGUUCCAGUUUAGAUGUUGUCCCCAGGUUCAGAACCUACUCGUCUAGUUCACUCAGGGAUGGGGCUACCAACAUUAUUGUGGUUCUGGGAACCCAUGCCAAGAGGAAGAGAAUUUAUUCGGUUAAUACAACAUGGUGCUCCGUCAGUAUUUUCAGACUACAGGAGAAACAUGUAGGUCAUGUGUUAAGAAUGUUGGGUUUAACUAGACAAAUUCAUAGAGACAGAAAGUUGAUUAGUGGCUGUUGGGGGAAGAGAGUAGUGAAAGAAAUGGAGAAUGAUUCCUAGUGGGUACAGAGUUUCUCUUUGGGGGUGCUGAAAAUGUUCUGGAAUUAGAUAGCAGUGAUGUUUGUACAACCUUGUGAAUAUAAUGAAACCCAUGGAAGGGUACACUUUAAAAUGAUGAAUUUUGUAGCCUGUGAAUUGUUUCUCACUUAGGUUAUAAUUUUAAGUGUUUCAGAGUGGAUGAUAAAUGUAAUAAAUUUUAUUGCAGUUGAACAACUCAAAUUAUUGUGCUCAAUGAAAACACAACAAUUAAAUAAGUCCUUUUAUAUUACAUACAUGAAAACAUUCAGGGCUUUGUUUGCUUUGCUGUUUGGAAACAAUGCUCUGAACCUGAAGUUCCUGAAUAGUGUGUCUAGGUCAACAGAAAAGGAAUGUUCUUUUUUUUUAUCUUUUAAAUUAUUUUAAUACAGUCUCUUGAGAGUAGUAACACGUUGGUAAACUUUUGGCAGAAGUGCAUUCCUAAAUAAGUAAACCCAAGGCAACAGUUGCCAAAAAGGUAAAGAAAGAAGUAGCUUUAUUUUAAAAUAGUGUCCUUUGGUAUCUCUGGGGGAUUGGUUCCAGGAACCCUCAUGGAUACCAAAAUCCUUGGAUGCUCAUGUCGCUUUUAUAAAAUGGCAUCGUAUUUUCAUAUAACCUACAGAUUCUCCCAAAUACUUUAAAUCACCUCUAAAUUAUUUAUAAUACCUACAAUGUAAAUGCUAUCCAAAUAGUUGUUAUACAGUAUUGGUUUUUAAUUUGUAUUUUUUAUUGUUAGGUUAUUUUUUAUUUUUUUCUUGAAUAUUUUUGAUAGAUGGUUUUCUGAAUUUGCAGAUGCAGAACGUGUGGACAGAGGGCCAACCAUAAACGCCAAAAAAAAUCAACUUUAAAAAAUAACUUUAGCAAUGUGAGUUAUUUUUAAAUAUAAAUAGGGACUGAACAUACAUGCAUCAAAUUGUACUCUCAUAAACUGACAUAAGCAUACCUUCAAACAAGUUAAUAUAAAGGUAAAUACAUAAAUAUAUACAAAUAAAUACACAUACCCAAAUAACAAGCCACACAGCACCCACCAUUUUCCGAGACCAAAAUUUUCAUAUAAACAUACUGGCAAAUACAGCAAAAUAUCACUGUAAAUUAAUAUGCUUACAUAUACAGACACGUAUAAAUACCAGAAUUCAAAGUGACAUGUAGCGUAUAACACAGGUACUUAAGGCAUAAACA